rnacentral:rRNA from 1 species
ACAAUGGAGAGUUUGAUCCUGGCUCAGGAUGAACGCUAGCGGCAGGCUUAACACAUGCAAGUCGAGGGGCAGCGAGGUGUAGCAAUACACUGUCGGCGACCGGCGCACGGGUGCGUAACGCGUA